rnacentral:pre_miRNA from 1 species
GCGGCCGAUCAGCGCGCGGCGGGCCGACCGGCUCGAGGAUAACGGGCCCGUUCGGACGUUUCGGUUUUCU